rnacentral:rRNA from 1 species
CAGUAGCCACGGUAAUACAGAGGAUGCAAGCGUUAUCCGGAAUGAUUGGGCGUAAAGCGUCUGUAGGUGGCUUUUCAAGUCCGCCGUCAAAUCCCAGGGCUCAACCCUGGACAGGCGGUGGAAACUACCAAGCUGGAGUACGGUAGGGGCAGAGGGAAUUUCCGGUGGAGCGGUGAAAUGCCUUGAGAUCGAAAAGAACACCAACGGCGAAAGCACUCUGCUGGGCCGACACUGACACUGAGAGACGAAAGCUAGGGGAGCAAAUGGGAUUAGAUACCCCCGUAGUCCCUGUCUCUUAUAC